GACGAACGCUGGCGGCGUGCUUAACACAUGCAAGUCGAACGGAAAGGCCCUGCUUUUGUGGGGUGCUCGAGUGGCGAACGGGUGAGUAACACGUGAGUAACCUGCACUUGACUUUGGGAUAACUUCAGGAAACUGGGGCUAAUACCGGAUAGGAGCUCCUGCUGCAUGGUGGGGGUUGGAAAGUUUCGGCGGUUGGGGAUGGACUCGCGGCUUAUCAGCUUGUUGGUGGGGUAGUGGCUUACCAAGGCUUUGACGGGUAGCCGGCCUGAGAGGGUGACCGGCCACAUUGGGACUGAGGUAGGGCCCAGACUGCAACGGGAGGCAGCAGUGGGGAAUAUUGCACAAUGGGCGGAAGCCUGAUGCAGCAACGCCGCGUGCGGGAUGACGGCCUUCGGGUUGUAAACCGCUUUCGCCUGUGACGAAGCGGGAGUGACGGUAAUGGGUAAAGAAGCACCGGCUAACUACGUG
rnacentral:rRNA from 1 species